GCAGCACGUGUUUCCUCUUUAGAGCUUCUAUCAACAGUUUAUAACAGUCGUAUUAACUCGUUCAGCCAGCGUUACAGUGGCAGAGAACUGAGGCCAGCCAAUGCAAUGCGAUCAGAAGUGGGAUGUUGCUCCCCUGCAUACUGCACGAUAUCUGAGAAAGUGGCUGGCAUCAUCGAGCUAGGGGGCGGCAGAGCAGAGCUCAGCAUGGAAGCACCACAAUGAUCAGCACAGCAUUGUGCGACAGAGGAACAUGCGUUGAUCAUUGUGCGGCAGAGGAACAUAUGUGCCGCAUGGCCCCCGAGCGAGUCCUUGCAGCCAAGCACAUGGUGUUUCAGUGCUGCAGGAAGAGGGGACACCAUGGCAGACAAUGGCACAAACCUGAGCUGGUGGAGAAACGGAAGCCAGCUUGGAGAAUCGCCAGCAGUCAUGGACACUGGGUCAAGUACAGCAUAGACGGCAGUAGGCUCAUCAGACUCUUUGAUAUGGGCUCAUCAUUAUUCCAACUACAACCACAUGUGCUCACACACACCGAGAGAGGCAUAUCAGAAAGACCAGCACAGGUCAGUCACCAGCAACAGAGCCAUGGCAGAGAGUCAGGGCUCCAGCAUGCGCAAGCAGCACCCUCGCUAGCGUCGACAGCAUAGUGGACAGCAUGAAGACAGCUGAGAGCUGUAAAAAAAAAUAAAGAGCAGUUCUCAUUU